rnacentral:rRNA from 1 species
CAGUAGCCGCGGGAAUACGGAGGGUGCAAGCGUUAAUCGGAAUUACUGGGCGUAAAGCGCACGCAGGCGGUCUGUCAAGUCAGAUGUGAAAUCCCCGGGCUUAACCUGGGAACUGCAUUUGAAACUGGCAGGCUAGAGUCUUGUAGAGGGGGGUAGAAUUCCAGGUGUAGCGGUGAAAUGCGUAGAGAUCUGGAGGAAUACCGGUGGCGAAGGCGGCCCCCUGGACAAAGACUGACGCUCAGGUGCGAAAGCGUGGGGAGCAAACAGGAUUAGAGACCCCAGUAGACCCUGUCUCUUAUAC